AGUGAACGCUGGCGGUAGGCCUAACACAUGCAAGUCGAACGGCAGCACAGUAAGAGCUUGCUCUUACGGGUGGCGAGUGGCGGACGGGUGAGGAAUACAUCGGAAUCUACUUUUUCGUGGGGGGUAACGUAGGGAGACUUACGCUAAUACCGCAUACGACCUACGGGUGAAAGCAGGGGAUCUUCGGACCUUGCGCGAUUGAAUGAGCCGAUGUCGGAUUAGCUAGUUGGCGGGGUAAAGGCCCACCAAGGCGACGAUCCGUAGCUGGUCUGAGAGGAUGAUCAGCCACACUGGAACUGAGACACGGUCCAGACUCCUACGGGAGGCAGCAGUGGGGAAUAUUGGACAAAGGGCGCAAGCCUGAUCCAGCCAUACCGCGUGGGUGAAGAAGGCCUUCGGGUUGUAAAGCCCUUUUGUUGGGAAAGAAAAGCAGCAGGUUAAUACCCCGCUGUUCUGACGGUACCCAAAGAAUAAGCACCGGCUAACUUCGUG
rnacentral:rRNA from 1 species